UGAAAGCCACAAGCACUGAUCCACUAGAAACAAAAUUUUUCCCGGCAUCCAGCAUUCGAUUAUUGCACUCAAUCUGUUCGACCUAAUUACGCACUGAAACAUUACAGCGUUGGGAUCUUUUGUUCUCACUAAAUCUGAAACAUUGUGAUCGGCGUUUCUGGAUGAAAAAUCUUCAUUACUUUGUUAACUAUAUCGAUUGGUUGGUGAUGAAGAAAUCCCGUCUUUUGUUUGCUGAAAGCAGGAGGAUGAGAUUAAAUUAUUGUAAUUCUGUAAUGUGCCAAUAACAGGCAUUUAUUCGUCUCUUUCUCCUUCGUUCCUUCAUAUGCUUCUUUGAUAUGCUAUGCCGUUCUCGUUUCGUAUCAAAAUUUCAUAAUUUCAGAAGCUACAUGGUUAUUUUGGUUGUGUUUUUUUCUCUAUCUGUUUAUUCACUGUAUAGACAAUAGACUGAUACGGUUCUUACUUCUACUUUGUACUAUUUUUUAUUUUCAGAUAUAAUUGUAUGUUUUCCUCUUUUUGGAAUUAGUCGAAGUAGUAGUGGAAAGUCGAAGUGAUUAGUGGGUGAUAUAGAGCAAAAGUGUUCCUUGAGCUUAGAAGAUAACCGGUAGAAUAUUUUUCUAUUUAAACGCUCAAGUAAUCUAUAAAAUUAUUUUACAACUUGGAUUGUAUUUGGGAGCUUGUUGGAUCCUAGAAAUACCAAUAAUAAUUUGAAAGUCUGGUUACACAUUAAUUUUGCCACUUUUUUUUUCUAGCUUGUUUUGUUUUUCAAUAUGAAAAGUUUAUAUUCCUAACAUUUGGUAUUAGAACUGAGCAUCA
rnacentral:lncRNA from 1 species